GUGGGGAAUCUUAGACAAUGGGCGCAAGCCUGAUCUAGCCAUGCCGCGUGAGCGAUGAAGGCCUUAGGGUUGUAAAGCUCUUUCGUGGGGGAAGAUAAUGACUGUACCCCAAGAAGAAGCCCCGGCUAACUCCGUGCCAGCAGCCGCGGUAAUACGGAGGGGGCUAGCGUUGUUCGGAAUUACUGGGCGUAAAGCGCACGUAGGCGGACUGGAAAGUCAGGGGUGAAAUCCCGGGGCUCAACCCCGGAACUGCCUUUGAAACUCCCAGUCUUGAGGUCGAGAGAGGUGGGUGGAAGUCCGAGUGUAGAGGUGAAAUUCGUAGAUAUUCGGAGGAACACCAGUGGCGAAGGCGGCCCACUGGCUCGAUACUGACGCUGAGGUGCGAAAGCGUGGGGAGCAAACAGGAUUAGAUACCCCAGUAGUCC
rnacentral:rRNA from 1 species